ensembl:lncRNA
GCUGGAUGGGGCAGCAUUUUCCCAGAAGAAGGAAAGGGAGCUGAUGAAUCUAUUUAUAAGCCAAAAGCUUGUUAGGGCUAUGGUGUUAGGCAUCAGUUGUUAGGGGUAAGGCUCCCCAGUGCACACAUGAUAUGCCACUCUCCUGCCUUUGCCACCACAUGUACAACAUCAGUGAUGGUUUAACAGAUGCCAUCAGUGCUGCUGCCACACUAAUAAAUGAUGCAUCCAUUUGAGAACUAGUGGGACAGCAUCACACAAAUCACCUUCAGCUUUUGCUAUUUGAGUCUCCUUCCUACACACUUGUCCCACCUUUCCUUGCUUGUAAAGCCUGCACAGCCAUCUGUCAACAUGACCACUACCAGGGCAGGAUUAGAUGAGCCACUGCAAUGAAAACAAAUAAUGGUGAGAGGCCCCCUGCUUCCCAUUGGGUCUGCAAUGCUCCAAGCAGCUCUGUAAAAUGCCAGGCACCGUUCCCACAGAGUUCCAUUCUUCAAUCCCUGUUUGACAGGGACAUGAAGAACUCAAGGAUGAGUAUUCAAAGUGAGUAGUGAGUCGGACUCCAGGUUUCCCUUCUGGUUUUAUCAUGAUCUCCCCACAACCAGCCUGCAGCAUCCUCGGCUGUGGAGGGAAGACCCCACCCCAGCAGGGUUUUGGGAAGCAGCUAGGAAAUGCAACACCCACAGGGAACAAAUCCUUUCACAAAGCGUAGCUCUCAAGGCCAUCUCUCCUUACCAACCCAGAAGCAAGGAGCAAAAGCACCCAGUGAAACUCCCUGUAGCCAUGGCUGGUUGGAAGCCGCUGCGUGGAUUUAAGAAGUUUUGCCAGCUGUGGGCUGUGGAUCAGCCACACAUUUGCCUUUCACAGAGCUCAUCCCUGGCUCUCUCUCAGCCAGCAAACACAAAUAAGGCUGUCAGUGCUUUUCAGUGAGGUUUGCAACUACCCUUCUGCUCUGCUUUUUGGACUUAAGUGCAGCUAGCAAAAAUACACUCAGACACAGAAGGAGCCUGGCUCUUGUGCUAGCAGUGCUCAACUGGGAAUAAGAGUUACUUCUUUAUAGCAGAUGUGUAGCUCAAAGUUCACCAUAAGUGCAUUUGCAUCAAGAGCACGGUGAAUAUUGUUGUGCAAGAAAACUAGACUCGGCCCUCUAUGAGACUCCAGAACAGCUAAUUUCAUUAUUCAAAGAGUGAGUGAGAUCAAGCCAGAAUUAACCCUCUGGUCUCCUCCUAGCAGGGAUUUCUUUAACACCCGUGGGUUUGGGAGGUAUGCUUUGCUCAUCUGCAUGCAUAGGUGGGCGCAUAAAAUCUGGGCAUGGCGUGAUGCCACAUAUCAGCUUUUCUCAUCAGGACAUGAGCUGUGUACUGUACCCCUUCAACAGUCACCCAUGGUGCCAAGGCCAGGAGCAAUACCCUGUCACCAAAAGACUUCUACUCACUUUGUGUGGGUGGAUAUGGCUUGGGAUUUUCAACCACUAUUAUAACCUCCACAGAAAACCAAAAGCAAGAAACAAUGCAUUUUCUAAAAAAAAUUCUAAAAAAGUUCCAUGCGGGAAUG